AUGAGUUGGCUGAGGGCACAAGGAGCAAUGUCAGUCUUUGAGGAAAACGGAAACAGAGGAAUGCAAAGGGGGAAGGAGGACAAAGAAAGAGAGGAAAAAUCACCUACUAUAUGCCCUUCCUGCAUGUUCUGUAUUCAUCUGGUGAGUUAUGAAAAGGAAGGAAGAAGAUCUGAAGGGAGGUGGGACCAAGAACAGGAUGAGGAGCACAUUCUGGAGGAUUCGAGAACUCUCACACAGUACCUAGAGAGUCAUGGAUCCAAGACAAAGAACUCCUCCGCCCUUCCCUUCUGCCUCAAGCAUUGUUUGUUUUUAGUGAAAUGGCCCCAUCCUAUCAAUCAUGUAUCCUUUACUUUUCAGUUUUACUUUUCAGUUUCUUCCUGAGUUGGGAAGGAAGAUUUUUAUUUCUGUUUCGGUUUCUAUGGCACUAUCAAGAGAAAAUCACGUGAAUGUGAGGUUUGAGAUUCUCUGAUUCCUUUUUUUUUUUUUUUCCCCGAGACAAAGUCUCACUCUUUCACCCAGGCUGGAGUGCAGUGGUGCAAUCUUGGCUCACUGCAACCUCUGCCUCCCGGGUUCAGGCGAUUCUCCUGCCUCAGCCUCCCAAGUAGCUGGGAUUACAGACACGUGCUACCACACCUGGCUAAUUUUUGUAUUUCUAGUAGGGACAGGGUUUUACCUUGUUGGCCAGGCUGGUCUUGAACUCCUGAUCUCAAGUGAUCCACCUGCCUCAGCCUCCCAAAGCUCUGGGAUUACAGGCAUGAGCCACCAUGCCUGGCUGAGAUUCCCCAAUUCUGAGGUCAGCGUGCAAUGCUGGUAUAACCCAGGAAUGCCUUCUAUUGCAAUUUUAAAUAGAUAAAGUCAGAUCAUUGGAAGUAUUUUAUUUAGGACUGCAGUAAAUGGGAAAAUAAGAUUCAGAACUAACUGGCCUAACACACUGUGUGCAAACAACCAAUUGAGUGUAAGGUAGCCUUGGGUUAUUUUAAGUGAGUUAAGGAAGCCCAAGUCUCAUCUUCAGUACCAUCUUGGUUAAAGCUAACCACACACUCAACCAAAAUGCUCGGGAUGGAUAGACAAUCUCCCCCAAUCCCCCCCAAAAAACUGCUAAGGCCACAGGCAAGGUCUGAAGCUGAACCCACCUUAGUAUCCUCAGCUCCCUUGUGCUGGAUCUGCACCUACUUAAGGUAGUUUUAGAGGGACCAUUGGCUGCAGGAAAGCAAGUGGAGAUGGGACACACACAGGCACGGAAAGCACUGUGUGGCCAUAAUAAUGAGGUAGCUACCAUGAGUAGCCAGAGAGUCCCAAACAAAGCCAGGAGCUCUGUUUAUGCAUCAUACUUCGAGCAAGUUGUUUAACAGUUUGCCAUAAACUAUAAAAUGGGAUAUAGGACUGGAGGACUUAACAUGUGCUAAAUAUGUACAAAAAGCAUAUAACUGAAAAGACUGGGAAAUCGUUGGCUAUUCAGGGCUGCAGACAUUACUUAAAUUUACCAAGGAAUUGCUUUUACUUUGAAGGGAGCACUGGAAACAAAGCUCAGUCUCCUUUGCAGUAUCCUGUACUCUGUGUGUGUGUGUGUGUGUGUGUGUGUGUGUGUGUGUGUGUGUGUGUGUAGCUGCAUGAAUAAUUAAGCUGCUCCUGCUAUCUGUUCUCAUACCAAUAGCCUUUGGUAAUACACUGAUCGCAUGUUUAAACUGAUCCAGUGGGAACCAUUUUGUGGAGCAUCAGUUCUAGCUUUCCAGGUGGCUUAUAGAAAUAACCUGCCUGGCAGUCCUGGUGCCUAGAGGAUGCCCUGGUGCCCAGAGGAUGCCCAGCAACUGGU
ensembl:lncRNA